GUGGAUUAGAUACCCGAGUAGUCUUGGCCAUAAACGAUGAUCACUAGGUGUCGGGGGUCUCCUCGGUGCCGCAGCUAACGCAUUAAGUGAUCCACCUGGGGACUACGGCCGCAAGGUUGAAACUCAAAGGAAUUGGCGGGGGCCCGCACAAGCGGUGGAGCAUGUGGCUUAAUUCGAUGCAACGCGAAGAACCUUACCCAGGCUUGACAUGUAUCUGCAAGCUCCCGAAACGGAGUCGCCUUCGAGGGUGAUACACAGGUGGUGCACGGCCGUCGUCAGCU
rnacentral:rRNA from 1 species